UGCAGUGAAGUGCAGCUUUUGUAAACAACUAGCUGUUCAGCGCACGGCGCGAUGCAAGGCAGACCUUUUCGAUAUGUUGUUUAUUUGUGCCUGUUCUUUGGCGCUAAUGCCCGCACUAACCGAGCAUCGAAUCUCCUUCAACGUGUAACUGACACUAAAUCUUCUAAGCCACUUGUGGUCAUCUUAGAUCUUGGCAAGAACACCAGGACCUCAGAUUUCGAUGAUCUGUUCAACAAUGAUGGUGAUGACGGACUUUUAGAUGAUGAUGACAUCUACAAAGCUAAGGGAUACGAAACAUCAUCGUCUGAUGAGAGUGAUGCGUACUAUUUGUAUCAUUUGUUACGUGAUCACCAAGACCAAAACAAACGUCACACAGCCAGCAGCAGCAGUUCUGACAGCAGUUCUGACGUAAGU